rnacentral:sRNA from 1 species
CAGCCGAGGAUGCGCCGUGCGACGGGCGAGC